CAUGCAGUCGAGCGGUAACAGAUCUAGCUUGCUACAUGCUGACGAGCGGCGGACGGGUGAGUAAUGCAUAGGAAUCUGCCCGGUAGUGGGGGAUAACCUGGGGAAACCCAGGCUAAUACCGCAUACGUCCUACGGGAGAAAGGGGGCUUCGGCUCCCGCUAUUGGAUGAGCCUAUGUCGGAUUAGCUAGUUGGUGAGGUAAAGGCUCACCAAGGCAACGAUCCGUAGCUGGUCUGAGAGGAUGAUCAGCCACAUCGGGACUGAGACACGGCCCGAACUCCUACGGGAGGCAGCAGUGGGGAAUAUUGGACAAUGGGGGCAACCCUGAUCCAGCCAUGCCGCGUGUGUGAAGAAGGCCCUCGGGUUGUAAAGCACUUUCAGCGAGGAAGAACGCCUAGUGGUUAAUACCCAUUAGGAAAGACAUCACUCGCAGAAGAAGCACCGGCUAACUCCGUGCCAGCAGCCGCGGUAAUACGGAGGGUGCAAGCGUUAAUCGGAAUUACUGGGCGUAAAGCGCGCGUAGGUGGCUUGAUAAGCCGGUUGUGAAAGCCCCGGGCUCAACCUGGGAACGGCAUCCGGAACUGUCAGGCUAGAGUGCAGGAGAGGAAGGUAGAAUUCCCGGUGUAGCGGUGAAAUGCGUAGAGAUCGGGAGGAAUACCAGUGGCGAAGGCGGCCUUCUGGACUGACACUGACACUGAGGUGCGAAAGCGUGGGUAGCAAACAGGAUUAGAUACCCUGGUAGUCCACGCCGUAAACGAUGUCGACCAGCCGUUGGGUGCCUAGA
rnacentral:rRNA from 1 species